CGCAUCUGUGCAUGCAGCAUAUCAAUAAGCGGAGGAAAAGAAACUAACAAGGAUUCCCCUAGUAACGGCGAGUGAAGCGGGAAGAGCUCAAAUUUGAAAUCUUAAAGGGUUUCCCUUUACGAAUUGUAGUUUAAAGAAGUGUUUUCUGUUGAGGUUUUGGUAAAAGUUCUUUGGAAUAGGACAUCAUAGAGGGUGAGAAUCCCGUAUUUGACCUUUACUUUCAACUUUGUGAUACACUUUCAAAGAGUCGGAUUGUUUGGGAAUGCAGUCCAAAAUGGGUGGUAAAUUUCAUCUAAAGCUAAAUAUUGGCGAGAGACCGAUAGCGAACAAGUACCGUGAGGGAAAGAUGAAAAGAACUUUGAAAAGAGAGUUAAACAGUACGUGAAAUUGUCAAAAGGGAAGCGUUUGACACCAGUGUUGUUUUUCUGAAAAUCAAUUAAAGAACUGUUUAUGCUAAGUUGUUUAGACUUUAUCAGCUAACUGUUUAGUUUUGAGCUUUUCUUUAAUGCACUUUUCAGUUAACAAGUCAACAUCGAUUUCUUUUGCUGUAAAAAAGCUUGAGGAAGGUGGCUUGAGAUUCGUCUUAAGUGUUUAUAGCCUCUUGCCUAUGCAGUCGGAGAGAUUGAGGUCUGCAGCGUAGAUCCUUCGGGGCUAAAUGCAUUUGUGCUAAGUUAUAACAUUUUAUAGACAACUUGUUGACUAUGAUUUGUCUUGUAGCUUACUCGCUUAUGUUAUUUUACCUACGCUUAGGAUGUUGACAGCAGUAUAGACUGU
rnacentral:rRNA from 1 species